AAUAUUUAUUGAGUGGCACUAUGGCUGUGAAUUUUCAGCUGUCGUGCUCACAAUUGAGUGGAGGACACAGACAAGUUAACAGGUGGUAAUGAUAUGACAAAUGAGCAUAUGAAGAGGAUAAGCACCAGGUGUUGUGCGAUUUCCUAGGAGGCAUAUCCACCUAGCCUUGGAAAGAGAGGUGACAGGAAGGGAAGUUUCCCUGAUAAGAAUAAUGAAGUGUUAGCUACACCGGUAUAAGGGUGAGGAUGGGGAUAUGUGUUCAAUUGUGGGGGGAAAAAAAACCCUUCUAGUUUAAAGACCUGGACACUGGAGAGGCCUAGGCUUAUCGAGGAACAGAGGUGGUGGUGUCAAGGAACAAUUUAUAAUUUAGAGGCUGGGAAUGGUAGGGGAGAGUGGGAAAUAAAGAGUGGUUGAUUAAUGGGGACAAGUAUAUACUUGGAAGAAAUAAGACUUGGUGUUCAAUAGAUCAGUAGGAUGACUAUAGCUAACAUCAACCAAUUGUACAUUUCAAAAUAGCUGGAAGAAAAUAAUCGAAUGUUCUAAGCAAAAAGAAAAUGUCAGUAUUUAAGAUGAUGGAUAUCCCAAUUACCCUGACCUGAUUAUAUGAAUACAUGAAAUUAUCACAUGUACCCUGAAAAUAUGUACAUCUAUUAAUGUAGCAACAACAAAAAAAUGAAGCUAAAAAAAAAAAUCUAGAAUUUUAUACCUAGCAAAACUAUCCCUCAGAAUAUGAAAACAGGCAGGGUGCAGUGGCUCAUAUCUGUAAUCUCAGCACUUUGGGAGGCCAAGACGGGCAGAUCACCUGAGGUCAGGAGUUUGAGACCAGCCUAGCCAACAUGGUGAAACCCCCGUCUCCACUAAAAAUACAAAAAUUAGCCAGGUGUGGUGAUGCAUCCCUAUAAUCCCAGCUACUCAGGAGGCUGAGGCAGGAGAAUUGCUUGAACCCUGGGGGGUGGGGGUUGCAGUGAGCUGAUAUUUACUUCUGUGCAUCUCUUUCCAGGAAGCUAGUAGAAGAUUUGUAGCAACAAAACCAAGGAGUAAACAACUUGAGAAUAACUGCGUGAGCUCAGUCUCCUUCUAGGUCCAAAGAUAGACAACUAACUCAAAAUUGUAUCUUCGCUUUAAUCACUGCUCUGGUGAUAUUUGCAUUAAUGAAAGAGAAAAGAAAGCAUCCCCAACAGAUGGAAAAGGCGGCUCUCUGACUAGUGAAAGAACAACUUCCAGUAAAAGAAGGCACUGAGGAUUAAGUGCUACGUGGGAGCAGUUGCUGAUUUUUGCAAUGGGAGGCUGCGUAGAUUCAAGGACUUCCUUGGGUGCUCCAGGAGCUUGUCAUUCCAGAGGCAGAGCAGCCCAGAAGUCCUGGGAUUUACACCUCUAGUAGAAACCCUCAACCAGAGAAGGAUGGAAGUCAAUUGUGGCUGUCAGAGGAGGGGAUUGUCUGUGUUGUGUUGGGAAAUGGAGAAGAUCAAGCCCAGCGAACUCCGUGUCAUCAUUGUGCACGAAGCCCAGCCCUUUGAGAUUUGGGGUACGGGUGAGAUUUUAGGAAAUCCAGAUGAUUUUUUUGAUUUAUCAGUGACACCCAGGUUAGAGGAACACCAAGCCUAUUGGAACAUCUGUGUUAAGGCUGACAUACUUUGUCAGCUGUGGCCUCUGGAAGGGAACCUGAACUCUGACACAUGAACAGGAUGUGGAUAGUAAGCAACCACUUUGGCUCUGGGAACCCGGGCGAGUCAUUCACUCCUUCUGAGAUGUUUCCUCUAAUAAUUCUCAUCCUGCCUCUCACACAGUUGUCUGAAGGAUUAAAUGGGUACAAUAUUGAUACAGCGCUUGAAAAAUGGGACCUGACCUAUAGGAGAUAAUAGUAACUGGUUAUGUUGAACUAGUUGGAGCCUGGUGUGAUCUAAGUCAGCUGUGAUUAAAUGCUUAAUUUAAAAUAAUUUUUUAAUUGGUUUGAAAAUAGAAGUUUUUCAUUCCCAUAUUUGGCAGAAAUUAGCUAAGCUCCUCCCCCUGUGAUGUAAGCCACAAACAUAGCAGAGAAGAUGAAAGACACAAAGGUAAGCCAUGGUUAUGUAAGAAAAAAUCCUGGUCUGCAUUUCAGACUCAGUUCUCAGCUUAUCAACAGUUAAUAUAGUGACAGUUACUAUAUAGUUAUUAUAGUUAUUUGCGAGGCCCAUUAUUUCUAGGAGACAUUUGUGCUCAGCUUGGCCCUGGAAACUAAGCUGGAAGGAAAGACUGUGAUGUGUUAAGAAUCAAAGGAAGGCAAACACUGACAUUUAUUUUUUAGUUUUGUUUUUAAUCCCUGUCACUGUGUAAGCAAUGUGGAAUACCCAUGAAGGAGGAUAUUUUGCAAAGUAUAUAAAGCCACUGAAGGUAGAUGUGUAGACAGACACCUGCUAAGGUGAUAAUUGGAUGUAUCCUCAAACCCAGCAUAUACAAAACAGGCCUUAGCUUUGGUUCCAAAUAUGCUGUAAGUCCUUGCUGCCUGUGGCUAUGAAUGGCAUCACCCAAAAUCUUAAUUCUUCCUUAGAGAUAUUAACUUUAAAUUUUGUUAAGUCAAAUAUACAUGUUAAAUGUUAAAGGUAACUACUAAAAGAAAAGAAAUAGAAUGUAUUUAGUCCAAGCGGCAACUGGUAGGGGUAAGGGGGAUAAGGUGGAAUAAAUAAAACUGUGCUUAUCUUCGUGACCAGCCUGAUGAACAUGGAGAAACCCUGUCUCUACUAAAAAUACAAAAUUAACCGGGCAUGGUGGCGCAUGCCUGUAAUCCCAGCUACUCAGGAGGCUGAGGGAGGAGAAUCGCUUGAACCCAGGAGGCGGAGGUUGUGAUGAGCUGAGAUUGUGGCAUUGCACUCCAGCCUGAGCAACAACAGUGAAACUCUGUCUCAAGAAAAGCCAAAAAACAAAAACAAAAACAAAAACAAAACCCUGUGCUAUUCCAAAAUAAUCUAGAAAAAGAAAAAAAGAAAAUAAAGUAAAAAAAUUGCUCAAAAUUAGGUGGCCAAAAUAAAUCCAAAUAUAUGUAUAAUCACAAUAAAUGUAAAUGUGCUAAAUUUACUAGCUACUGUUUUUUUUUUAAAUCCAUCUGCACUCAUUACAAGAGACACAUUUAAAACAUAAUGACAUAGAAAGGUUAAAAGCAAAAGAAUGAAAAAUAGAUACCAGACAAAUGUUAACAAAAAAAUUGAAAACUCGGCUGGGCGCGGUGGCUCACGCCUGUAAUCCCACCACUUUGGGAGGCCUAGGUGGGCGGAUCACGAGGUAAGGAGAUCGAGACCAUCCUGGCUAACACAGUG